UUUAUAUUACUACAUUGUUUUUACAUAGAUUUUUAAUCUCGUUUCAUUUUCAAACUGAGUUUUCAAAUAAAUGAACUUUAAUAGGUAUUCCUUUUUAAUUUGAUAUUCAUAUGUGCGCGCCAUUUUGUUUUUUUUGCAUUUAGUAAUUUCCUCGAUGAGGUGGGAUGAAAAGUUAUGUGUUGCACUCGAGUGCAAAGAUUUUUCACCUUGUGCUCUUUUGAUUCCCUCGCUAUCGCUCAGGAUUCUAAUUAUUGAAACACUCGCUACGCUCGUGUUUCAAUUUUAGAAUCCUUCGCUUUCUCGGUCAUCAAAAUUGAGCCCGCGGUUAAAAAGCAACUUUGCACUCUUGUAUAACAAAUAACUAUUAUAGUGGCCUAUUUUUGUGCCUGGUAUAAAUUCUAUAGUACCAACUAAGAAAUAAUAAUUAUCCUUAAUGCUAAUAGUAAUCGGCAAUUCAGUGAGUAAAACUGAGUCUGCAGCUCCGUUUAAAUCAAAUGUUAUGAUCUCGCCUAGCUUAAGUUCACCUUUCAACUCUGUGUCACAUUUUUGACACAUUGUGUUAACACAAAGAAAUUUUAAUCUAUUUGUGACUUUGAUUUUUAUAAAGUAUGCACUCUCCCUAAAAAAAUAAGACGUGAAUAACGAAAAUUUCGAAUAUGUGAAAAUGCAUGGACACCCUACUCUCAUACAGUUUCAUACCACUGUGUUUUAGUAAAUAUCUCCUAAAAUACGAAUGCUGCAGUUAAAUUCGCUAUAUUUAUUCAAACUAGGUUACGUUACCCAUCGACUAGUACUUUAAUUAAGCUAAAACCUACUUUUAAUAACGAGAAAAACGAAAUUGUAUUUUAGGCAUAUUGCCGUCCGCGCGGCCAACUAAAAUCGACUCUAACAUAUUAUUGAACCUGCUUUCUAGUAUUUUUUUGUCUUUUUUCGCUGUAACAAAUUAAAGACUAAUUUUCUAUACA